UCAGCGGUCAUGGAGAGUCUCCAUCCAGCUGGAUCACUGUCACAGACAAACCUACAAGCACACCUCCACGCAACAUGUCUACAACCUGGCGACCUGCCUUAACUCCCACCCCUGCUUCUUCACACCCUUCUUUUGCUGCAUCGCCUGACUCCUCUACCCUGCAACUAGUGAUCAGACUGGCUCUCCAUCUGCUGGUGUUCUUUCCAUAUUUCAUCUCCACCCUUCUCCUGGUGUCUUUAUAUCGACGCAGAGCCACAGGUAACAGUCUUGACUCAGCCCAACCUGCUGAGCAGGGACUGGAUGAUAAGUACGAUGACAUUAUGGUUACUGAAUAAACUAGUGACUCGUU